ACAGUAACUGCAAUUGCAGAUGCCCCGGCAGGGAGGACACACCCAACCCUAGGGAAGCAAUGGCAGCAGGAAUGCCCCCGUUAUCAACAGGCUCUCCCCGCAGGAUGAGCUUCUGAUUGAGCCUGGAUCACUCAGCCUCUCCACCAAUCUUUAAUCACGUGAGACUCCUCAGAUAAUCCUUCACCCUGUGACAGAGAGAACCAAGGUGUUGGGAGGCUAAAAGAAUAACAACUGAAAUAAACUGCACUAACAGACGUGAAAUCUCAGAGCAGUGCAGGUGCGCACAGAAAGCACCCUACACCACGGUAUACCCACCCCCUGGGCCUGGCCCCGGCAAAUCCAAGGUGAGAGCACAGACACACACAACUGGCUGCUUUCUGGAAUGAAAGCCAUCUAGCAACUGACUGUGUGCAUGAGUACUGGAAUCAAUACAUAUAAGGAGUUCCACUUACAGAAGCUGAGUUCGGGGUUCGGAGCGGGAAGAAAUCUGGCAUUGAGUUCAAUUCCGCCAAUAAUUGAGCAAGCUGAAGUUCAGAAGAAAGAAAGGAUCGUGCAUAAAUAUUGCCACGUCUACUUCAUCUAACACGUUAUCACAAGUCUUCCAGUUUGCAGCCAUGAGAAACUUGUAGUUUACAUAAGAUCUCAGCAGUUGUUAUUUUUUUAACCUCACAUGUAAAGAUUUUUAUCUACGCAGGUGAGAUGCUGAUAGCAUGAGAGGAAUAAAAUCUAUGCCCGUUCCUUAGGUAGAAGAAGACACGAUGAAAACUGUCCUGGAAGGUCCAAGGCCUGGAGCAUGCGGUUAGAAUCGUGACUGGGCUACUAACUCUCAGUGUGACCCUGGAACCUAUCAUUUUGCCCACCUGAAUCAAGUUUCAUCACGUUCACAACAGAAAAGGCCCAACUAGAUCAUUCCGGCAGUUAUUCAGAGCUCCGAAACACUGAUUCUUUAAGUUGGUUAAUUUCUUAUCAAUAAAAAUAAUUUCUGAAAACAUUCCCAAAUAAACACCUAAGAACACCAAAUAACAGGCAUUAACGUGCCAAUCAAUUUAAUUAGGAUUCCUUUUAGUUUUAGACUUACACAGAGGUAUGGGUGUCACCCCUAAAUCCUAAAAUCAUGAACGUAGUUCUUAUUUUUUAUUUUUUUUUUUACGGUACACGGACCUCUCACUGUUGUGGCCUCUCCCGUUGCAGAGCACAGGCUCCAGACGCGCAGG